GGUUGAUCCUGCCAGUAGUCAUAUGCUUGUCUCAAAGAUUAAGCCAUGCAUGUCCAAGUAUAAACCAAUCUAUACGGUGAAACUGCGAAUGGCUCAUUAUAUCAGUUAUUGUUUAUUUGAUGAUACCUUGCCACAUGGAUAACCGUGGUAAUUCUAGAGCUAAUACAUGCACGCAGCCCCGACUCUUGCGGGAAGGGGCGUAUUUAUUAGGUAAAAGCCAGCCCGGGGCGACCCGGCCGGUUGGUGAUUCAUGAUAACUUUGCGAACCGCAGGCCCAUGCGGCGGCGGUGGA
rnacentral:rRNA from 1 species